UACGUAGGUGACAAGCGUUGUCCGGAUUUGCUGGGCGUAAAGAGCGCGCAGGCGGUCGAUCAAGUCGAGUGUGAAAGCCCCCGGCUCAACUGGGGAGGGUCAUUCGAUACUGAUCGACUCGAAGGCAGGAGAGGGUAGUGGAAUUCCCGGUGUAGUGGUGAAAUGCGUAGAUAUCGGGAGGAACACCAGUGGCGAAGGCGACUACCUGGCCUGUUCUUGACGCUGAGGCGCGAAAGCUAGGGGAGCAAACGGG
rnacentral:rRNA from 1 species